rnacentral:sRNA from 1 species
UGACCAUUUUGCACUGUUAAAGCAAAAUUGAGGCUACACGGACGGCCGGGUCAAAUGCCGA